rnacentral:rRNA from 1 species
UACGAGGGGGGCAAGCGUUGUUCGGAUUUAUUGGGCGUAAAGGGUGCGUAGGCGGUUUGGCAAGUCUUGUGUGAAAUCUUUGGGCUCAACCCAAAGUCUGCACAAGAAACUGCCGGGCUUGAGUAUGGGAGAGGUGAGUGGAAUUUCCGGUGUAGCGGUGAAAUGCGCAGAUAUCGGGAAGAACACCCGUGGCUAAGGCGGCUCUCUAGUACGGUACUGACGCUGAGACGCGAAAACGUGGGGAGCGAACAGG